rnacentral:rRNA from 1 species
CGACCGCUGGCGGCGUGCUUAACACAUGCAAGUCGCACGGAAAGGCCCUGCUUGCAGGGUACUCGAGUGGCGAACGGGUGAGUAACACGUGGGUGAUCUGCCCUGCACUUCGGGAUAAGCCUGGGAAACUGGGUCUAAUACCGGAUAGGAGCCAUUUUUAGUGUGAUGGUUGGAAAGUUUUUUCGGUGUAGGAUGAGCUCGCGGCCUAUCAGCUUGUUGGUGGGGUAAUGGCCUACCAAGGCGGCGACGGGUAGCCGGCCUGAGAGGGUGGACGGCCACAUUGGGACUGAGAUACGGCCCAGACUCCUACGGGAGGCAGCAGUGGGGAAUAUUGCACAAUGGGCGCAAGCCUGAUGCAGCGACGCCGCGUGGGGGAUGACGGCCUUCGGGUUGGAAACUCCUUUCGCUAGGGACGAAGCUUUUUGUGACGGUACCUAGAGAAGAAGCACCGGCUAACUACGUG